rnacentral:sRNA from 1 species
AAUAUGUAGAGCAAGCCAGCUGUGCCUCCCUAAUUUAUGAGGGCUUGAAACGUGCAUGUGAAGAGUAUGUUGCUUCAAGGGCCACUCCAGUGGCAACAAAAACCUCAAGAGUAGGGGGAUUUGGGGCCAAACAUUUAAAUAACCCAUGUGACAGAGGCCACAAAGAAAGGCAUCUUCUUCUUAGUGCUACAGUUCUCUUUUACAUACAGGCUCUGAAGAUUGCUCAAAAAACUUCACAAGCCCCAACGGGACCAUCGAAUCUCCUGGGUUUCCUGAGAAGUAUCCACACAACUUGGACUGCACCUUUACCAUCCUGGCCAAACCCAAGAUGGAGAUCAUCCUGCAGUUCCUGAUCUUUGACCUGGAGCAUGACCCUUUGCAGGUGGGAGAGGGGGACUGCAAGUACGAUUGGCUGGACAUCUGGGAUGGCAUUCCACAUGUUGGCCCCCUGAUUGGCAAGUACUGUGGGACCAAAACACCCUCUGAACUUCGUUCAUCGACGGGGAUCCUCUCCCUGACCUUUCACACGGACAUGGCGGUGGCCAAGGAUGGCUUCUCUGCGCGUUACUACCUGGUCC